AGUCGAGGGGUAUAUUUCUUCGGAGAUAGAGACCGGCGCACGGGUGCGUAACGCGUAUGCAAUCUACCUUUUACAGAGGGAUAGCCCAGAGAAAUUUGGAUUAAUACCUCAUAGUAUAAUGACCUGGCAUCAGGAUGUUAUUAAAGUCACAACGGUAAAAGAUGAGCAUGCGUCCCAUUAGCUAGUUGGUAAGGUAACGGCUUACCAAGGCUACGAUGGGUAGGGGUCCUGAGAGGGAGAUCCCCCACACUGGUACUGAGACACGGACCAGACUCCUACGGGAGGCAGCAGUGAGGAAUAUUGGACAAUGGGCGCAAGCCUGAUCCAGCCAUGCCGCGUGCAGGAUGACGGUCCUAUGGAUUGUAAACUGCUUUUAUACGAGAAGAAACACUGCUUCGUGAAGCAGCUUGACGGUAUCGUAAGAAUAAGGAUCGGCUAACUCCGUGCCAGCAGCCGCGGUAAUACGGAGGAUCCAAGCGUUAUCCGGAAUCAUUGGGUUUAAAGGGUCCGUAGGCGGUUUAAUAAGUCAGUGGUGAAAGCCCAUCGCUCAACGGUGGAACGGCCAUUGAUACUGUUAAACUUGAAUUAUUAGGAAGUAACUAGAAUAUGUAGUGUAGCGGUGAAAUGCUUAGAGAUUACAUGGAAUACCAAUUGCGAAGGCAGGUUACUACUAAUGGAUUGACGCUGAUGGACGAAAGCGUGGGUAGCGAACAGGAUUAGAUACCCUGGUAGUCCACGCCGUANACGAUGGAUACUAGCUGUUGGAAGCAAUUUCAGUGGCUAAGCGAAAGUGAUAAGUAUCCCACCUGGGGAGUACGUUCGCAAGAAUGAAAC
rnacentral:rRNA from 1 species